GAUGAACGCUGGCGGCGUGCCUAAUACAUGCAAGUCGAGCGAACGCACGAGAAGUUUUCUCCUUUGAUGUUAGCGGCGGACGGGUGAGUAACACGUGGGUAACCUACCUAUAAUACUGGGAUAACUUCGGGAACCCGGAGCUAACACCUGAUAAUAUUUUUAACCUCAUGGUUCAAAAUUGAAACACGGUCCUGCUCUCACUUAUAGAUGGAUCCGCGCUGCUUUAGCUACUUGGGAAGGUAACGGCACACCAAGGCCACGAUGCAUAGCCGACCUGAGAGGGGGGUAAGCCACACUAGAACUGAGACAAGGUCCAGACCCCUACGGGAGGCAGCAGAAGGGAAUCUACCGCAAUGGGCGAAAGCCUGGCGGAGCAACGCCGAGUGAGUGAUGAAGGGCUUCGGAUCGGAGAUCUCUGUUAUUAGGGAAGAACAUAUGUGUAAGUAACUGGGCACAUCUUGAAGGUACCUAAUCAGAAAGCCACGGCUAACUACGUG
rnacentral:rRNA from 1 species